AAAAAAAUUAUGCUCCCAACUAGCAAAUCAAAAUAAAAAUAAAUAUUCAUGUCAUUCUAAAAUCUCCUGAGUGCUUUAAGACUUAUCCUUAUCCAGUGGUAUUUCAUCACAGGAGUCAAAAAAUAGAUGUCUACAAUUGCAUAAUUAACCUUUAUGUGUUUUGUAUAGUUUCAUAUCAAACAUAAGAUGGUAACACAUAACUUAUUGUCAUAUAAUAAAUUACAAAAUAUGUUUUAAUCAAGAUAAGUAGUUAUGUUUAAAUGAGGACUUCAUAAGUUGACAAUGGAUGUGUAUGCACAUAAUACAUACAUGCUACGUACAAACAAACAUCCACCCAUGCAUGUAUGAAGAACAAGUUUUAUUAGCGAUGUUAUGGAAUGUGUAACAACAAUAUAUUGUCCAAUACAGUUGCUUGUAGUCUUCUGUUUUGAAUUUUCAUAUACUCUUUAGAAUUUUGUGAGUUGUAAUCAUUUUAGUUCAUGAAUUUUUGAAUGUUGUACAUAUACUGAAUUUCUUUAGUCUUAAAAAG
rnacentral:misc_RNA from 1 species